UUUGUUCCCUAAAUAGGGACUUGUAUGAAUGGCCACACCAGGGCUUUACUGUCUCUUACUUCCAAUCCGUGAAAUUGACCUUCCCGUGAAGAGGCGGGAAUAUAACAAUAAGACGAGAAGACCCUAUGGAGCUUUAAUUAACCGACCCAAAGAGACCCUAUUAACUUAACCGACAGGAACAACAAACCUCUAUUAUGGGCCGACAAUUUAGGUUGGGGUGACCUCGGAGAACAAAACAACCUCCGAGUGAUUUAAAUUAAGACUGACCAGUCAAAAGUAUUACAUCACUUAUUGAUCCAAAAACUUGAGCAACGGAACAAGUUACCCUAGGGAUAACAGCGCAGUCCUAUUUCAGAGUCCAUAUCGACAAUAGGG
rnacentral:rRNA from 1 species